rnacentral:rRNA from 1 species
UACGGAGGGUGCAAGCGUUAUCCGGAUUCACUGGGUUUAAAGGGUGCGUAGGUGGGUCGGUAAGUCAGUGGUGAAAUCCCCGAGCUUAACUUGGGAACUGCCAUUGAUACUAUUAAUCUUGAAUACCGUGGAGGUUAGCGGAAUAUGUCAUGUAGCGGUGAAAUGCUUAGAUAUGACAUAGAACACCAAUUGCGAAGGCAGCUGGCUACACGAAUAUUGACACUGAUGCACGAAAGCGUGGGGAUCAAACAGG